AGCGAACGCUGGCGGCAUGCUUAACACAUGCAAGUCGCACGAACGGGUUUCGGCCGUUAGUGGCGGACGGGUGAGUAUCGCGUAGGAAUCUAUCCAUGGGGUGGGGGGACAACUCCGGGAAACUGGAGCUAAUACCGCAUGAAGCCUGAGGGCCAAAGGUUGCAAGACCCGCCUGUGGAGGAGCCUGCGUUCGAUUAGCUUGUUGGUGGGGUAAUGGCCUACCAAGGCGAUGAUCGAUAGCUGGUCUGAGAGGAUGAUCAGCCACACUGGGACUGAGACACGGCCCAGACUCCGUACGGGAGGCAGCAGGUAGGGAAUCUUGCGCAAGUGGGCGAAAGCCUGACGCAGCCAUGCCGCGUGAAU
rnacentral:rRNA from 1 species